UACGGGGGGGGUAAGCGUUGUUCGGAAUUACUGGGCGUAAAGGGCUCGUAGGCGGCCAACUAAGUCAGACGUGAAAUCCCUCAGCUUAACUGGGGAACUGCGUCUGAUACUGGAUGGCUUGGAUUCGGGAGAGGAAUGCGGAAUUCCAGGUGUAGCGGUGAAAUGCGUAGAUAUCUGGAGGAACACCGGUGGCGAAGGUGGCAUUCUGGACCGAUAUUGACGCUGAGGAGCGAAAGCCAGGGGAGCAAACGGG
rnacentral:rRNA from 1 species